CCUACGGGGGGCAGCAGUGGGGAAUAUUGCGCAAUUGUCUAAAGCCUUACUCAUCUACUCCUCUUUAUUGAUGAAGGUCUUCUUAUCGUAAACCUCUGUCAGCAGGGUAGAACGGUCACUGUUCUAAUCAGCAGUGAAUUGACGGUACCUGCAAAGGAAGCACCGGCUAACUCCGUGCCAGCAGCCGCGGUAAUACGGAGGGUGCGAGCGUUACUCGGAAUUACUGGGCGUAAAGCGCUCGUAGGCGGUAUGUCAAGUCAAGGGUGAAAUCCCCGCGCUCACCGUGGGAACUGCCUUUGAAACUGGCGAACUGGAGUGUGUGAGAGGUUAGUGGAAUGCCAGGUGUAGGAGUGAAAUCCGUAGAGAUC
rnacentral:rRNA from 1 species